rnacentral:tRNA from 1 species
GGAGAGGUGUCCGAGCUGGCUGAAGGAGCACGCCUGGAAAGUGUGUAUAGGGGAGACUCUAUCAUGGGUUCGAAUCCCAUUCUCUCCGCCA